GCCUUCGUGGUGUAGUGGUGCACACGCUCGAGUCAUAUUCGAGAGGUCCGUGGUUCAAAUCCCGGCGAGAGCA
rnacentral:tRNA from 1 species